rnacentral:rRNA from 1 species
GUCCACGCCUAACGAUGAUCACUGGACGUUGGAGGAAUUGGCCUCUUAGUGUCGAAGCUAACGCGUGAAGUGAUCCGCCUGGGAGUACGCUCGCAAGAGUGAACUCAAGGAAUUGACGGGGCCCGGCACAAGCGGUGGAGUAUGUGGUUAAUUCGAUGCAACGCGAAGAACCUUACCUGGAUUUGACAUGUCUGGAAUCCUGCAGAGAUGCGGGAGUGCCGCAAGGAACCAGAACACAGGUGCUGCAUGGCUGUCGU